rnacentral:lncRNA from 1 species
CUUGUAAUCAACAAUUGACAAGAGGAUAUAACAAGCCUGAACCUUACCUGUAUGCCCCAGAUAAAAUAGCCUCAAAUGUAUAAAGCACAAAUUGAUGGAAUCAUAAAGUGACAUUGUCAAAUGAAAAGUGCUGUCGGAGGCAGCUGAGUAUUUAGGAUCCCGGACGAUGAUGAGACCCAGGAAGAGGGUGGGCCUGGUACUUCCAGGCUCGGGCAAGAGUCCAAUCCUUGGGCAGAGCAAAGGGGAGCUUUAGGCUGGUCAGCCAUCUCUGGGCUCCUCGCCUCUCCCUCGGCCCUCCCAAGGACUGGGCUCCCCGAAAUCCUGGAAUGGGGCUUGAUGCUCCCCAUUCUACCCUGAGAAUGACUGUGCUCAGGCGGAAGGGAAGAUCCUGAGCUGGAAGCCACAACCUUUCUUCCUCUAGCAACAGGUUUACUUCCUCUUUUCCUUCUCUCCUGUAGCCUCUGCUGGCUCCUUGGGCCUCGGAACCGCGUGGGUCACUCCUGCAGUAGAAGCAGGCAUCUGCACAGGCUGUUGGAUGAAACCCAGAAGGAAAAGUAGAGGCACAUAACUCCCUCACGUGCCUUCUGGUAACCUUGGGAUUUCUGGGACUCCAGCCUCCCCCAUCCCACUUCAUUCUUUCCUUUGCUUCGCCUCAGUCAGCCUCCUGGCAACCCUUGGCAGCUGGGGCUGCCCCAGGAUUUCCUCUUGCCCAGCAAUCUCCGGGGCAUAGGUGCCCACCCCAAUAGCUCUGCCCUCCGGCCUUACAUUGCUCCUCUGCUUGGUGGCCAGAAGCCUCAUCUUGGGGAGCAGCCAAGAUCAGAGAGGCUAGUGUGGGCAUCACAACUCGACUAAGACGGCUGAGCCCUGGAAAUCCCACGGACACUCUGACCUACACACCGAAAGGAGAGGGAGAUUUGACACCCAUGGAAGAAGGCCGUGUGAAGACAGAGGCAGAGACUGGAGUGAUGCUGUCACAAGCCAAGGAAUGCCAGGAGCCCCCAGAAGCUGGAAGAGGCAAGGAAGGAUCCUCUUUUAGAGGCCAUAUUCCC